AAACUGUGAGAGGUACAGCAUUAUUUGUUGCAGCUGAUAAUCUUGGAUGAUUGGAAAGGGAUUUUCCACCAAAGGGACCACUGGUGGAAAUGCCCAUGAGAACUGGUGUCUUAUAUGGCUUCUUCCAUUUCUCAUGGGUAGCUAUGUCCCUGAGGGUGACGACACUUGGGAAAUUCUCAUGCUUCUCAAGGACAUUGUUGAGCUAGUUGUGGCACCAUGGCAUACUGAAGAGACACUGCAUUUCCUGGAAUGUAAGAUAGCAGAGCACAGACAGCUGCUGCAGUCAACAUUUUUCUGAUUUUCGUUUAAAGCCUAAACAUCACUAUUUAGAACAUUACCCUCAGCUAAUAAGGAAAUUCGGGCCCCUGUGUGAAGUUUGGACAAUGCGCUUCGAGGGGAAGCUUAAGUUCUUUAAAAGGUCAAUUCGCAAUGCACAGAAUUUCAAAAAUGUUGCCAUGACACUUGCUACCAAACACCAGAAAGCAAUCAGUUACCAUCUUGAUUGUAGCACAUUUUUAAAACCAUCAGUUGAGAUCUCAAAGGUCACCCCAGUUUUGCUUGCCUCUUUCCCCAUGAAUGUUCAGAGUGUAAUCACUCAAAACAUUCAGGAUCAGUCUGGAUCUGUUUUUGAUGUGUCGUCUGUCUGUUUAGAUGGAAUCAAGUAUAAUCCAGGCAUGAUUCUCUGUACUGGCUCAUGCUCAGGUCUCCCUGAAUAUGCCCAAAUUGAGAAGAUUGUUGUGGCUAACACAGAAAUUUUGUUUGUUUGCCACAAAAUGACAGCAUACGACUUGAGAUCGUACCAACUUCUCUGCAGUGAUGUCACCUCAAUGUGUGUGGUUAGGGUUUCAGAGCUGAAUGAUGUCUUCCCAUUAUCAGCAUACAAGGUGCAAGGAGAACUUAUGGUGACACUGAGACGAUAUGUUAUCUGCUAAAAACGUCUUUAUUAUUUUUUCCCAGAUGGCUGUCCAACAGAAAUUAACCAUGAGAGUUACUGUCUCUGAGGGAGAUAUAAGAAAAAUGACUAUGACAACACGGCCUGACAGACUUGAAGAUUUGAUUGGGUGGCUCAAAUCCACCCUCCAAACGAACUACAGCUUCUCUUUACAGUACCAAGAUCCUGAAUUUAACAAUGAACUAUGCAAUCUUACAGAUCUUUCUGAGCUUCCGGAUAAGCCAACCAUCAAAAUCAUCCCUAUAAUUGAGCUUGAACCAGUUGCUGCACAAAAUGAAUGUUUUAGUGAAACAUGCAGCCUGGCAGACACAGAGAUCCUGUCUGUCUCUUCUCUGGAUAGAAAUUCUCAGUGGCCAGAUGCAUUUUCUAUUCCAAAAUUUUCAGUUUAUGUCGAGUAUCGACUUCGUCAAGGCAACCUGCUGUAUCUGAGGGAUGAAACCAAUCUGAAAGUCCCAAAAGAGAUGAAACAUGAUAUUCUGGAGAAACUUGCUGAGGCCAUCUAUGAGUUUAAAGCAUAUCCAACAAAAGAAGAAUUUGAUGCCGUUGCAAAAGCCUUGGUACAAACACACCCAUGUCUUAAAGAGCCAGGUCAUCCUCUGGUUGGGAAGGAUGGAAAAAUAGUUUAAAAUUCAAGAUGGGGAAUUAUAGGAACAAAAUGCGCCAGCUGGGUCGACUUGAAGUCACUGUCAAUGCUGGUAAACGUACACUGCAAUUGGCAACCCUCCCAACAAAGACAUCAAGAAGCCUAGGAAAGGGGAAAUAAAUUUCUUACCUGAAAAUCCAGAGGGGAUGGAUGACAAGAACCUAGGAGUUCAUCAGGUUCUUGUUAAUGAAAUGAAGAAGACGAAGCCAAAUGGAUCCCUUGUCAAGCAACACAUGGACAUGACAUUUGCUAGAUAAGACUCUUAUUCCUCAUCUGGUAUCAUUUAAAACCCUUUGAAGCUGCACUGAAAACUGUAAUUUUGACCUUCAACUGUUUGGAGAGACCAUUGAGGUCCAUUAUAAGGAGAACAAUCCUGGAAUGUUUUCAUCAAAAACCUUAAUUUCUUUUCGUCCAAAGAAAGAAAGACAUGAGCAUCUUAGAUGACAUGAGGGUGAGUAAAUUAUCAGGAAAAUUUUAUUUGAAAGUGGACUAACCCUUUAAACUACACCAGAGCGCGUACACACCUCAUGCACCGGAUGCUCAAGGCAGUUGGACAUAGUGGUGUAUUAGAGAUUUUGUUACCAUUGACAAGCAUUAUACGACUGACAGACCACAACGGUUGGAGUUAAAAACCAUCAUUUGUGUUCUACUGAAGAAACAAAGUCACCUACGUCUUGAAUGCCCUGGGGGAUAUCACUGACGAGGACUCGUACCAACGAAUUCCAGUAGGAAUCCUCUACGUUGAUGCAGAAAGUCCACAGCUAAUUCCCGAGUGUGCAUCAUCUUGGAAGGGAUUUUGGUUAUGGAACCGGACAACCUGCCUCAAGCCUUCUGUCUUUUUGGACUCAUUUGUGGCCUUCACUUGGACUAUCCAAAGUGUAUGAAAAACACUUUCCAUUUUAUCCAGCAGGUAUUUCUUAACCUUGGAAAGGUGGAGCUGGCACCAAAAAUUCAAUCCUUGAAAAAACAGCUUGCAAUUAUGGUGUAAAAUGGUAUCCUCCACAAGACAUCUAAUUUUUUUUUUUUUUUCUGUGUUCCAUGAAAAAAAGGCUCAAGUCAGAUUUUCUUCAAUAGAUACGUGCUUUUAUUCACAAUAAUAAAAAUAAGGUGCCUUGUAUUUUGUUUUAAUUUUUUGUUCAUUUAUUUUAAAUACUCUGCAGUGUUGCACUUUGAAAUUAAUCUAAGCACACAUUUCCUCACUCUGAUAGUUCAGCAGACCAUAUCUGCAGGAAGUUAAAUAAUUUUACAGGUUCCCUAAAGAAGAGUAAAAGAGAUUAGUCUAUAAAAUAUUUUUUUUUUUGAGAGUGAUAGCAAUAACAAAACUGUUAUAUUUAUUAUCCCCCUCAAUCACUAACUUUUCAAACACACAUCUCUACAAUCCUUUUCUACAUCAAAAGAUU